rnacentral:rRNA from 1 species
AUACGGAGGAUGCGAGCGUUAUCCGGAUUUGUUGGGUUUAAAGGGAGCGUAGGUGGGAUAUUAAGUCAGCUGUGAAAGUUUGGGGCUCAACCUUAAAAUUGCAGUUGAUACUGGUUUCCUUGAGUACGGUACAGGUGGGCGGAAUUCGUGGUGUAGCGGUGAAAUGCUUAGAUAUCACGAAGAACUCCGAUCGCGAAGGCAGCUCACCGGGCCGGAACUGACACUGAUGCUCGAAAGUGCGGGUAUUAAACAGGAUUAGAUACCCUGGUAGUCCGCACAGUAAACGAUGAAUACUCGCUGUUUGCGAUACACGGUAAGCGGCCAAGCGAAAGCGUUAAGUAUUCCACCUGGGGAGUACGCCGGCAACGGUGAAACUCAAAGGAAUUGACGGGG